rnacentral:rRNA from 1 species
GACGAACGCUGGCGGCGUGCCUAAUACAUGCAAGUAGAACGCUGAAGAGAGGAGCUUGCUCUUCUUGGCUGAGUUGCGAACGGGUGAGUAACGCGUAGGUAACCUGCCUUGUAGCGGGGGAUAACUAUUGGAAACGAUAGCUAAUACCGCAUAACAAUGGAUGACACAUGUCAUUUAUUUGAAAGGGGCAAUUGCUCCACUACAAGAUGGACCUGCGUUGUAUUAGCUAGUAGGUGAGGUAAUGGCUCACCUAGGCGACGAUACAUAGCCGACCUGAGAGGGUGAUCGGCCACACUGGGACUGAGACACGGCCCAGACUCCUACGGGAGGCAGCAGUAGGGAAUCUUCGGCAAUGGGGGCAACCCUGACCGAGCAACGCCGCGUGAGUGAAGAAGGUUUUCGGAUCGUAAAGUUCUGUUGUAAGUCAAGAACGGGUGUGAGAGUGGAAAGUUCACACUGUGACGGUAGCUUACCAGAAAGGGACGGCUAACUACGUG